rfam:Oryza sativa Japonica Group DNA, chromosome 12, cultivar: Nipponbare, complete sequence.
AAUAAGUGCAGUAUUGCACCGUUUUAUGUCCAAUUUUUAACCGUUCGUCUUAUUUAAAACCAUUUUACGAUCAGUAUUUUUGUUAUUAUUAGAUGAUAAAACAUGAAUGGUACUUUAUGCGUGACUAAUUAUUUUUUAUUUUUUUAUAAAAUUUUCAAAUAAGACAGAGGGUUAAACGUUGGGCACGGAUACCCACAGCUGCACUUAUU